AUUGAACGCUGGCGGCAGGCCUAACACAUGCAAGUCGAACGAGUGGCGGACGGGUGAGUAAUGUCUGGGAAACUGCCUGAUGGAGGGGGAUAACUACUGGAAACGGUAGCUAAUACCGCAUACCAUCAGCUGUGCCCAGAUGGGAUUAGCUAGUAGGUGAGGUAACGGCUCACCUAGGCGACGAACCCUAGCUGGUCUGAGAGGAUGACCAGCCCAAUUGGAACUGAGCCACGGUCCAGACUCCUCCGGGAGGCAGCAGUGGGGAAUAUUGCACAAUGGGCGCAAGCCUGAUGCAGCCAUGCCGCGGGUAGGAAGAAGGCCUUCGGGUUGUAAAGUACUUUCAGCGGGGCGGCGUUACCCGCAGAAGAAGCACCGGCUAACUCCGUGCCAGCAGCCGCGGUAAUAC
rnacentral:rRNA from 1 species